UGGGGAAUAUUGCACAAUGGGCGCAAGCCUGAUGCAGCCAUGCCGCGUGUAUGAAGAAGGCCUUCGGGUUGUAAAGUACUUUCAGCGGGGAGGAAGGCGAUAAGGUUAAUAACCUUGUCGAUUGACGUUACCCGCAGAAGAAGCACCGGCUAACUCCGUGCCAGCAGCCGCGGUAAUACGGAGGGUGCAAGCGUUAAUCGGAAUUACUGGGCGUAAAGCGCACGCAGGCGGUCUGUCAAGUCGGAUGUGAAAUCCCCGGGCUCAACCUGGGAACUGCAUUCGAAACUGGCAGGCUAGAGUCUUGUAGAGGGGGGUAGAAUUCCAGGUGUAGCGGUGAAAUGCGUAGAGAUCUGGAGGAAUACCGGUGGCGAAGGCGGCCCCCUGGACAAAGACUGACGCUCAGGUGCGAAAGCGGGGGGAGCAAACA
rnacentral:rRNA from 1 species